rnacentral:rRNA from 1 species
UACGUAGGGCGCAAGCGUUGUCCGGAAUUAUUGGGCGAAAAGAGCUCGUAGGCGGUUUGUCGCGUCUGCUGUGAAAACUCGAGGCUCAACCUCGGGCUUGCAGUGGGUACGGGCAGACUAGAGUGCGGUAGGGGAGACUGGAAUUCCUGGUGUAGCGGUGGAAUGCGCAGAUAUCAGGAGGAACACCGAUGGCGAAGGCAGGUCUCUGGGCCGCAACUGACGCUGAGGAGCGAAAGCAUGGGGAGCGAACAGG